CUACGUGCCAGCAGCCGCGGUAAUACGGAAGGUCCGGGCGUUAUCCGGAUUUAUUGGGUUUAAAGGGAGCGUAGGCCGGAGAUUAAGUGUGUUGUGAAAUGUAGACGCUCAACGUCUGACUUGCAGCGCAUACUGGUUUCCUUGAGUACGCACAACGUUGGCGGAAUUCGUCGUGUAGCGGUGAAAUGCUUAGAUAUGACGAAGAACUCCGAUUGCGAAGGCAGCUGACGGGAGCGCAACUGACGCUGAAGCUCGAAAGUGCGGGUAUCGAACAGGAUUAGAUACCCUGGUAGUCCGCACGGUAAACGAUGGAUGCCCGUUGUCAGGCUGUAUCAGUCUGGUGACCAAGCGAAAGCAUUAAGCAUCCCACCUGGGGAGUACGCCGGCAACGGUGAAACUCAAAGGAAUUGACGGGGGCCCGCACAAGCGGAGGAACAUGUGGUUUAAUUCGAUGAUACGCGAGGAACCUUACCCGGGCUUGAA
rnacentral:rRNA from 1 species